GACGAACGCUGGCGGCGUGCUUAACACAUGCAAGUCGAACGGAAAGGCCCUGCUUUUGUGGGGUGCUCGAGUGGCGAACGGGUGAGUAACACGUGAGUAACCUGCCCUUGACUUUGGGAUAACUUCAGGAAACUGGGGCUAAUACCGGAUAGGAGCUCCUGCUGCAUGGUGGGGGUUGGAAAGUUUCGGCGGUUGGGGAUGGACUCGCGGCUUAUCAGCUUGUUGGUGGGGUAGUGGCUUACCAAGGCUUUGACGGGUAGCCGGCCUGAGAGGGUGACCGGCAGCAUGGGGACUGAGAUACGGCCGAGACGCCGACGGGAGGCAGAAGGGGGGGAUAGUGAAGAAGGGGCGGAGGCCGGAUGCAGCAACGCCGCGUGCGGGAUGAAGGGCUUCGGGAUGUAAAACGCUUUCGCCGGUGACGAAGCGUGAGUGACGGUGAUUGGUAGAGAAACACCGGCUCACUACGUG
rnacentral:rRNA from 1 species